rnacentral:misc_RNA from 1 species
CCUUCCAAAGCCACCAAUGUCCAUAGAAGAUGCAAUGCCACAUAGGAAGAAAUGGUGGCCAUCAUGGGAUACGAGGAAGCAAUUGACCUGCAUCAAUUCUGANNNNNNNGUAUCUCAGCUCUGUGAGAGGCUUGGAAGGAUGCUUACUGAUUCUGGAGGUUUGCUUCCAUCUGAACGGAAUAAGAGAGACAUUCUUCUUCAUUGCCACAAAUUAAAUCUUAUAUGGGUAGGUCCGAACAAACUUGGCCGUAU